rnacentral:rRNA from 1 species
AGCGAACGCUAGCGGCGGGCCUAACACAUGCAAGUCGAGCGGGGAGCAAUCCCAGCGGCGAACGGGUGAGUAACACGUAGGUAAUGUGCCUUUUGGUGGGGAAUAACCGUGGGAAACCAUGGCUAAUACCGCAUAUCGUGCUUCGGCAUGAAAGCUUCUGAGGCAACUCGGGGGCGCCAGUUGAGCAGCCUGCGUCCCAUUAUUUAGUCCUAGUUGGUAGGGUAAUGGCCUACCAAGGGUACGAUGGGUAGCUGGUCUGAGAGGAUGAUCAGCCACACUGGAACUGAGACACGGUCCAGACUUCUACGGGAGGCAGCAGUGGGGAAUAUUGCGCAAUGGGGGAAACCCGUGACGCAGCCACGCCGCGUGAGUGAUGAAGGCC